UAUACUCGUAUGCCAAUUAAAACAUAUUUUACCAUUCAUCAUCUUCUCCAACGCACUUCUAUAGAACAAAAAACCUAACCCAUAUUAUUAGAUUAUUUUUUAUCCUUUUCGAACUAAAAGUAGGAUAUAUAGAAAUUGAAUAAUCAGUGGUUUUGAAGGAGGAUUUCACAGUCACCAAUGUACUAUUGAAGUUUACAAAGUACUUGUCUAGUAAUGCAAGGUAAGAAAAAUUGAACUUUCUCUUUAUUUGCUUUUACUUAUUUGUUUAUUUCAACCAAGUAAAUGAUGAUAUACUAAUUUGCAAGCACAUGGCUUAAGAAUUCGUCCAUGGGUUGCAAGUUUUCAGGGGCUUUGGCAAAUGUUUGUGGGUUUUGUUUUGUGUUUUAUAUUUUUUUAAUGUUCAUGAUAAAUUUUGUCCAGUGCUUCAAUUGAUUUGUGCAUAUAUUGAAAAAUGGGUUAGAGAUUGAUAUUAGGAUUCGGUGGCAGUAGCAGAUCAAAUUAAAGGAAAAUAAUAAGAUUUUGAAGUAGACAAAUUUCACUUUCCUUUAAAAAUUUUUUUAUAUAAAACGAUUUUAAAAAUUAAUGUGCAUAAAGCCAAUCAUUUAUUUUAUUUGCUGGUUGUUAUAAUAUGUAUUGCUUAUUAAUUUUAAAGGAGGUUUGAAUUGUAUAUUGAAUGGGUUAGAAGUAUUGUUUACUUUUGGGUUUAAAAAUGUAUGGAAUUAAUUGAUGUCAUGUUAGUUUUUUUGUGGAUUGUUGCUUAAGAUGAUCAUUUGAUGUGUGUAUGAAAUGUUGAUUUCGGAUGUUUUGUCCUUUUCAUAUACAAUCCACCGAAACUACACAAGAACAGCGCCCACCACUAUUCUAAUGUUUGUAAGCUCACCAACUAACCCAAAAUUUUCAAGCCCACCAACAUACCCAAUUCCACCAAAUGACAUGUCAGCCAACAACAACAACCCUUCGAACACAAUAACCAUGAGCUAAUGCAAAUAGGUGAGCCAGCAUAAAGUCAAAAUGAAAGAUUAGCAGGUCAAACACAAUUAUAUGUUGAAGAAGAUGAUGUUGUUAAAUUUGGAGAAGAAGAAGCAUUUUAGGAAAACGAUGACAAUGAUGAUGAUUUGUUUAUUGAAGAGGAUAGGCAUAAUGUUCAAGAGGAUGGAGAAAAUAUAGAUGAUCGAGGUGAAAAUGAUACUGAGGAUAGUGAGAAUGAUGAGGUUUUGUCCAAUUAUGAGUCUGAUGAUAGAGAUGAAGGAUAUUCAAUUGAAUCGGAUGAAGAUAUACCAAUUUGUUUGGUUAAAAAAUUUGUAGAAACACGGAAAAGCAAGGUUGGUCCAGAUGGUAAGCUGAUAUAGUGAUAUUUUCAAUUGGAGAUGAGUUUGACACUGUGAUUGAGUUUAGAGGAGUGUUAAAAAAUUAUCUAAUUGAGUAAGGAUUUGAUAUUGUUAAACUUAAGAAUGAAAAGAGGAGAUUCAAGGCUAGAUGUAUAGGUGAGACUGAAGAAAGAGUUCCAUGUACAUGGUACAUUUAUGCAGCUAGGGUAAAGUUUGGAACUAUUUUUAGAAUUCAACAACUCAAUAAGAAUCACACAUGUGACAGAAACUCUAAGACAAAAAAGGCUUCUAUGUACUAGAUUGUCAAUUAUUUUUAGACCUCAUUGAAGAAUAAUACUACAAUGCCCCUAAAACCAAUGCAUAAAGAGAUGACACAUAAAUAAGGAUUACAUUGUAGUAUUAAGAAGAUUAACAACUAAAAAGAAUACCAAGAUUAGAAAUAGUGGAAGUCAUUCAGAGUCUUAUCAGUUGCUAAAGAACUAUGAAGCAAUCUUGAAACAAACAAACCCAGGAGUACUUGUCUGGCUACAAUGAAUGGAUGAGGGUAAACCUAACAAAGUUAAGUUCCAAAGGUUUAUGCUUAGUUUUCUAGCUUUGAAGAAUGGGUUUAUUAAGGGUUGCAAGUGGUUUUGUUGGUAUUGAUGGGUGUCAUUUGAAGGAGCCUUAUGGUGGAAUUAUGUUGUCAGUGGUUUCCUUAUAUGCAAAUAGUGACGUUUUCCCUAUUGUUGUGUGCAUUUGUGAGAUGAAGAGUUCAAAGACUUGGAAGUGGUUCCUUAGCAUUUUGAGGGAGUGGCUUGAAAUUGAAGAUGAUAUUCUUGUUACCUUUAUGACAAAUAGGCAAAAGAGCUUAUUGGCUAGUUUGGCAGAGUUCUGGCCUAGAUCUACUGUUAGAUAUUGUGCUAGGCAUUUAUUUGCAAAUGUGAGGAGUAAAUGGCCUGAACAAGUGUUUAGAACUCUGUUUUGGUCAGACAUGCUUUGAAUCAUCUUGCAAAGUCUGAUCAUGUGACUAAUAAUAUGACAGAGUCAUGGAAUGGUUAGUUAAAAGAGCAUAGGGGUAGUCAAGUGCUGACUCUCAUGGAUUAUAUUAGAAGGAAAGUAAUGAGGAGAUUGCAUAAGAGAAUGAAAGAGGUUAUGACAUGGAAGGGUAGACUACCCCCUAAUGUCCAGAAGAAACUAGAUUUGAAUAGGGAAGAAGGAAGGACAUGCAAGGUUUUAGAGGCAGAUGAUUAUGAUUUGGAAAUAAUUGAUGAUACCACUCAUGAAUCUUUUGUAGUUGAUCUAGAUAAAAGAAUAUGUGGUUGUGGGGCAUAUCAAAUUAGUGGCAUCCCCACCAGAAAUAUUAGUGCAAGUUGGCAGGGCGAAAAAACAUGCAAGAAAAAAGGAACUGAAUGAACUGCUUAGGAAAAGGAAGAAUAAGCAAACUGUCAAGUGCACUAACUGCAGUGGUAUAGGGCACAACAAAAGGUCUUGUAAAAAUCCUGUAGAAAGUUCAUUUCAGGUACAUUCUUUAUUUUGAAUUAUGUUAACGUAAAAUUUGAAAUUAUCUAUUGUAUUAACUGCAAUAAGUUACUUUAUUGUCUUCCUGUCAUAUGGUAAUGUGCAGGUAGCAAAGUAACUAAAUGCCACUCAAUCUGAAAGACAAUCACAGUUACAGCCACAAAGAGUAGGAAAUCAUAUUAAUUUGAUAAUGGAUAUGGAUAUGAUGCAUUUGGAUCGUAGACAUUUUUUAAUCAGACUUUGUGGUGCAUUUGAAUUGAGCUGAUAUAUCCAGGUCAUUUCGUUUGUAACAACUCAACUAUUGCAACAGCAUGUAACAGCUCAACUAUUGCAACAACAUGACUUGUUCUUGAAUAUCAUGUCUCCAUUCACUUUUUCAUGAGUA
rnacentral:lncRNA from 1 species